ACUCGGUAGUGGUGGGGCCCACCUUUCACCUUUCCAGGCGGUUCAUCAUGUCUGCCCCAGCUUGGAUGGGUGAUGCUGCAAAAAGUCCCCCAUUGAAUAGUCCAAAACCAUCUCCAUUCUUGCCUGCAAGUGGACGGCCAAACCCUAGAGCACAGAAAAGCCCACAGCCAACGGUGUGCAGAUUUAAGAAGCCCAGUAAUCGGAUGGCUGAAAUUGAAUACAAUGUCAAAAUGACCAAAUUCCAAUCAGUUUUGUUCCCAAUCAUCAUACCUGGAAAUAGUUGUGUUGAUGCUGAAAUCUGGUCGUCCUAACCGGACCUUCUAGUCCCUGCACAGGUAAAACGACAAUGUAGACCCUGGCUAAGACAGGGGACCCUCCGAUGCCAAAGUUAGACAGGGAAUCUGGGUCUAUUUGCGUUAGGGUUUUAGUGCAUACCUUUCUCUGUAGAUUGGGACUCUAUUUAUAGCCCUGGGGGGAGUUCCGUAGAUGGUAAAUUCCCCUAUUUGGCAGGUGCAUAUCACAGUUAUCUUCCGAGAUCCUCGGCAGAGAUCUCGGAACGAUCUCUGCGAUAAGGUCGAGUGGUCGGGCCUUGAAAGGGCCAUGGUAAGUAGCCGAGCUUGACCAGCUAAGGCCGAGCUCGGGGUCUACGGUUUGAUGCCGUCCUAAUGCUGGUCUUCCAGAGUUGGGUAUUCGGCUGGGAUUGAGCUUACUUUCAAUGUGCAGCCGAACUGACCCCUACAGUAGCUCGUUGGUUGUAGCAACGAGAGCUUGGCAGCGGCGGGACUCUCCGCUUGUGGGCAGGUCGUUGACCUGUUCAGGUCAUGCUUGGUCAUGCGACCCAGGUUACCUCCCUGGGGAUGCUAUUCUCUUACACUGGCUGCCUUGGGUCAGUCCAUUUUCACCCAUAACAAGCUGUAAUCACAAUUCGAAGACUAUCUUAAACAAUUGAAAUUUUGUUAA